GGAAGAACGAAACUGAUAGCUACACAAGGCCCAGAAGAACAUGCUUAAAACUCAGACCUAUCGUGGAAACCGGCCCUGAAGGGCAGUGACAACUGCAUUUACAACCCUGCGGAAGCAUGGACGGACGGACGUGGUUCAUGUCACCUCG
rnacentral:lncRNA from 1 species